rnacentral:tRNA from 1 species
GGGGUUGUGGCUCAGUGGUAGAGUGCAUGCCUUGCAUGUGUGAGGCACUGGGUUCGAGUUUCAGCACCA